rnacentral:rRNA from 1 species
ACGUAGGGAGCGAGCGUUGUCCGGAAUUAUUGGGCGUAAAGGGCGCGUAGGCGGGUAAUUAAGUCAGAUGUGAAAGACCCGGGCUUAACUCGGGGAGUGCAUUUGAAACUAAUUAGCUUGAGUAUAGGAGAGGAAAGUGGAAUUCCUAGUGUAGCGGUGAAAUGCGUAGAUAUUAGGAGGAACACCGAUUGCGAAGGCAACUUACUAGGCUAUACCUGACGCUGAUGCGCGAAAGUGUGGGGAUCAAACGG